GUUAGCUAACUUCAAAUUGGGUGCAAUUCGUUUGUUGCAGUGUUUCUCCCGUCGUAAUGUUAGCUAAUUUUUAAGUGGGCGUCGGCUCCGUGGGUUUAAAGCUUUAACCACUCGUUUGGUUCUGAGCUGUGAUGAUUUGUUCUUUUAAAGCGCAACAAAGUUUUGCAUCAUAAAAGUUUGAGAUGGAGAAAAAUAUCAUUGCCAGAGUAAAACCAGUGCAAUAUUUUUAUUUUUAUUGUGGUGAAAGCAUGUUGUUGUCCAUCUUACUUAAUGACAAUAAAAUUUUUCUAUGUACGCUU